AAUAAGCCCCAAUGAGUUUUUUGGAGCAAAAAUUAAUAUAAGACCCUGUCUUAUUUUCAGGGAAACAUGGUAGUAUGGCUCAAAUAGGAAUAUUCUUGGCUCACAUUCCUGAUGGUUGAGAAGAAUUUCACAAGCAGAUUUUGUUGUGACAUCACUUGAAUAAAACAGUUUGUUUCUGAAAUGUAUUGUAGGUCUGCCUUAAAUAGGGAACCAGUAGGGGCUAUCAUUCUCUGGUAAAGUGCCAAAACGGUAAUACUAUUCUGGAAUGGUUAUAGACUUCAACAUGACUGAAUUUCUGGCAGAUACUAAUUGAAAUGAUAUGUUUAUGAGUACCUUUAGUUUCCAGCUAGCUGUGUUUAUGUAUGAAAUAAAGCCACUGACUUAAGUUUUCCUCUGAAAGCCAAAAUGAAACAUUUUGUGGUAAUCUGUGAAAGCAGAUCUUUACCAGUGAUUGAAAACUGACUCUCAAGUAUUGUCAGCUUAAAAAAAAUCACGACAUUUGGUUCCUUUCUUUGUGUUCAGGCUGUAUUUCCUAUGAAUGCUCAGCAUCAAUAUGAUGUAGAAACUGUGAAUAAUGAUUGCAAUUCUUUGUGUUGAGAUCUUUUAAGACAAAUAUUUUUUUUUAAAAAAAAUUCCUCAUUUGCCAUGCAGCACUUCUCAAUACAAGCUGGAGCCCGACAGGAAGAUUUUGGUAGACAUUGUGUCUUGGUGGGAACCUGUGGUGGUGGUGGUAUUAAUGGAAGGUGUCUGCUAAUUCUUCUGGGAAGAGGGUGAGAUUUCGUUCUUGUGAAGCACAAGACUCCAUCAAACCAUUCCUCUUAAUUGCUGAAGAACAGCCCUGAAAAUCAGCCACGUUUUCUGUUUCUAGGUUUUGUGACAGAAAAUCCGUUUUCCUGGAGAUACGUCAUAGAGUUGCCAAAAUAAAUGUGUGUUACUGUUUUUUGGUUCCUGAAAAGGUUCGCUUCAUUAUGAUCCAUCUUUGCGAUUUGGAGCGGACCGGGGGAGGGGAAGGGGGUGUUGGUGUAAAAUGGUUAAGAUUUGGUAUUCAGCAGGGGAUUUCGGAGCGAUGUAAACAGCUGUCUGUUCAUUCUCCAUAUUAUUACAGCACAGGCAUUUUUUUACAAAAAAAGAAAAAAAUUCUCACCGUUGCGAAACACUGAGAAUAAAAAAAUCAUCUAAAACCUGAA